rnacentral:rRNA from 1 species
GACGAACGCUGGCGGCGUGCUUAACACAUGCAAGUCGAACGAUGAAGCCGGAGCUUGCUCUGGUGAAUUAGUGGCGAACGGGUGAGUAACACGUGAGUAACCUGCCCUUGACUCUGGGAUAACUGCGGGAAACUGUAGCUAAUACCGGAUACGACCCUCGGAGGCAUCUCCUGGGGGUGGAAAGAAUUUCGGUCAAGGAUGGACUCGCGGCCUAUCAGCUAGUUGGUGAGGUAACGGCUCACCAAGGCGACGACGGGUAGCCGGCCUGAGAGGGUGACCGGCCACACUGGGACUGAGAUACGGCCCAGACUCCUACGGGAGGCAGCAGUGGGGAAUAUUGCACAAUGGGCGCAAGCCUGAUGCAGCGACGCCGCGUGAGGGAUGACGGCCUUCGGGUUGUAAACCUCUUUCAGCACCGACGAAGCGCAAGUGACGGUAGGUGCAGAAGAAGGACCGGCCAACUACGUGCCAGCCGCCGCCGUAA